AGUGAACGCUGGCGGUAGGCCUAACACAUGCAAGUCGAACGGCAGCACAGUAAGAGCUUGCUCUUACGGGUGGCGAGUGGCGGACGGGUGAGGAAUACAUCGGAAUCUACUUUUUCGUGGGGGAUAACGUAGGGAAACUUACGCUAAUACCGCAUACGACCUACGGGUGAAAGCAGGGGAUCUUCGGACCUUGCGCGAUUGAAUGAGCCGAUGUCGGAUUAGCUAGAUGGCGGGGUAAAGGCCCACCAAGGCGACGAUCCGUAGCUGGUCUGAGAGGAUGAUCAGCCACACUGGAACUGAGACACGGUCCAGACUCCUACGGGAGGACGCAGUGGGGAAUAUUGGACAAUGGGCGCAAGCCUGAUCCAGCCAUACCGCGUGAGUGAAGAAGGCCUUCGGGUUGUAAAGCCCUUUUGUUGGGAAAGAAAAGCAGCAGGUUAAUACCCCGCUGUUCUGACGGUACCCAAAGAAUAAGCACCGACUAACUUCGUG
rnacentral:rRNA from 1 species